rnacentral:miRNA from 1 species
UGGAGGCGGUAACUGACGGUCC